rnacentral:rRNA from 1 species
AUUGAACGCUGGCGGCAGGCUUAGCACAUGCAAGUCGAGCGGAGCGAGGGUGCUUGCACCUUAGCUUAGCGGCGGACGGGUGAGUAAUGCUUAGGAAUCUGCCUAUUAGUGGGGGACAACAUUCCGAAAGGAAUGCUAAUACCGCAUACGCCCUACGGGGGAAAGCGGGGGAUCGUCGGACCUUGCGCUAAUAGAUGAGCCCAAGUCGGAUUAGCUAGUGGGUGGGGUAAAGGCCUACCAAGGCGACGAUCUGUAGCGGGUCUGAGAGGAUGAUCCGCCACACUGGGACUGAGACACGGCCCAGACUCCUACGGGAGGCAGCAGUGGGGAAUAUUGGACAAUGGGCGGAAGCCUGAUCCAGCCAUGCCGCGUGUGUGAAGAAGGCCUUUUGGUUGUAAAGCACUUUAAGCGAGGAGGAGGCUCUUAAGGUUAAUACCCUUGAUGAGUGGACGUUACUCGCAGAAUAAGCACCGGCUAACUCUGUGCCAGCAGCCGCCGUAAGAC